UGCGAGUGUGGGUCAUGGGUACGUUUGUCAUCAUCGAGGCGUCCCCACCCUGGGUGGAGGCGCGCCGUGGCAGCCACGAUUUGACAGAAUGUGCUCGGUAAGCAGUCCGGCGGUGACAGCGGCGGCGAUCGCUCGGAGGUGCGCGAAAUGACGGCAUAGUCAUUUGCUACCGUCAUUUGCCGACCAGGGAACCAGAAACCAAGAACCAGGAAAACAGCUGAUCGACAAGGAAACUCGGGGGCCAAGGAAAGAUCGCCCACGGACUGCGGGAAAAAUCCUGACAAAAUUUUCCAAUUUAAUCCGCGUGGACGAAAAACUCCUCGUGCUGAAGUGAUUACCAAAAGACAAGAGUCUACGAUCAUUAUCAUCGCGGUGGAUUAAUUAAACAAAAGGUCACGGAAAUUACCUCCCGAAUUUCCAGGAGGAAGACCCACCUGCUUGUUAAAGUUGCAAGAGCUAUAUCAUACCUGAAGACGCUCGGCUGGCUAUUUUUUUUUCAAAUACGGGAUUAAUUUAUUAAUCUUUGGAAUUAGCCCUAGAAAUUAUGAAUUCAUAUUCGAGGGACGUUCCGAGGGCAUGACUUGGACCGGGUUAACAUCCGAUUCGGUAUCCGAGUCUUGAGGACGUCUGGUGACGAGAUAACGAUGUGAAUGUAGGAUCCAGAGAGUAGAGUGAUUCGACGAGGCUGCGGAUUGAUAAGUAGAUGCGUUCGGCGGGCUGCUGAUACCGACCGAUCCAUUCAUAGAAGAGAUAACCGCUGAGAUUAACUCUUCCCGCCGAGAGAUUCUCCAUCCUGCUGCAUUUCUAUGCGACGUGCUCCGAUUUCCAUGAAAGUUUGGAAGGGAGGAAAAACUGCCGGACAGGAAACUCGGCGCGACAUCCUGAUGGGCCUGCUGAUAAGAAUAUAAUUCCUUUAAUUAAAUAAUCUACGGACUCGUUCGGUGUAGUUGUGAAUUUCUUGCGACGCGGCUCCUUCUUGACAUCCGGUUAGCAUCGAGUCGAGCUGUUGGGUGGCGCCGGGCCAUAGAAAAAAAAAAAAAAAGAAAAAGGGCAUGGGGUUCUUAAGAAGGCCAUAAACACCAACGUCACGCACUCGAGAUCCACUCGAAAGCCAAACACGCGUCUUCGAUAAAAGUCCGCGAUUCUAAGUUGCCUGAGAAUUUUCCUGAGAGGGCCCUCAAGAAAUUCGAGUCGAGGGCGAAUUCCCGGGAAUUCUUCGUCGCCUAUGCGUACUUCGAAUUACGGAUCCGCCAUGAGACAGCGGGACCAGUGACGUCACGAUUUAAAGGCCACAGGCGUGAGACUCGACUCGUCGCUUUUGACCCUGCUGACAUACAUGAGGCUGAACGAGAUGACAGGAGGCGAGCAGUCAUUCGGCAUGGAGUCCGCGACCACGUGGCUGCCCCACGUGGACGACUCGAACCACAGCACCAUCAUUGACGGCGAGUUUUCAAGAUUUUCAAAGCCUUUGAGGACCUUUGCGGCAGUCCUUGCCAUCCUGAUAAUGAUUGUCGGCCUCCUGGGGAACCUGUUGACCAUCAUCGCUCUUUGCAAGUACCCCAAGGUGCGCAACGUGGCGGCUGCUUUUAUAAUAAGUCUCUGCGUGGCGGAUUUCAUUUUCUGCCUGCUGGUGCUGCCUUUCGACUCGAUCAGAUUCAUCGAUGCCAGUUGGGCGGACAUAAGGUUCCUCUGCGUCCUCGUGCCCUUCCUGAGGUACGGAAACGUCGGCGUCAGUCUGCUCUCCGUCGCCGCCAUUACGGUGAACAGGUACAUCAUGAUAGCCCAUCACGGGAUAUACAACCGCGUCUACAAAAAACACUGGAUCGCCCUGAUGAUGGUGUUCUGUUGGCUCUUCUCCUAUGGGAUGCAGGUGCCCACGUUGACCGGCACCUGGGGCAGGUUCGCCUACGACCCCAACCUCGAGACAUGCUCCAUCGUGAAGGACGAAAGAGGCUACACCUCGAAGGCCUUCCUCUUCGUCACCGGCUUCGUGAUCCCCUGCAUAAUAAUCGUGGGGUGUUACGCCAAAAUCUUCUGGGUCGUGCACAGCUCCGAAACCCGAAUGCGAAAGCACGCGACACCUUCCGUGAAAUCACCCCACACACCAGGACGUGACAUUCGGGAGAUGAAGCAGAGAAGAAGCGAGUGGAGGAUCACCAAAAUGGUCCUGGCGAUUUUCCUCAGCUUCGUCGCCUGCUACCUGCCGAUCACGAUCGUGAAGGUAGCCGACCCCGAAGUGAAGUAUCCUGAAUUUCACGUAAUGGGCUACCUGUUGCUCUACUUCGCCUCGUGCGUCAACCCGAUAAUUUACGUGAUCAUGAACAAGCAAUACCGACAGGCGUACGCCGGGGUGAUCAGCUGUUCGCGAAUCAGGGCGAGCCUCACCCCACAUGGUAGCAGCGCACCAGCCCAAAACUUCGGCCAAGGGGUGGCCGAUGCGAGCUAGAUAUCGAACGCACUCUUUACUACUAACGCGGACGGAUGAUAGCAUGUAAGAGCGCGGCGAUACGAGCUAGGUUUGAAAUUUUACGUCAAGACUUUCGAGGAGACUACUCUCGUCCUUUUAUCGCGGGUAAAAGAUUUUACGGGGUCAGGAAGAUACUAGGCGACGAGUCCUUAGCGGAUCAAAAGUUCGAGGGCAUAAUCUGAAUAAUUACGGAGCCGCCAUUUUGUAUGAGUACGUCGAAGAACUACAUGUACAUAUUUUUAACGUUCCCCCCGUAGCCGUGUUCCCAUUCCUAACCAAUUUUUACUUAAAAAAGAAUGCUUAACGCCGCCAGGGAAAUGUUUAAUCCCAUAUCUUCUGCCUCUUCCAGACUUGUCGAAGGACUACAGCAAGACUAUGGUGUCCACGGUGUCGAUCGCCAUGAACCCCGUGAGAAGUUCCGAGUUCGAGGACGUUUUGUGAAAACGAGCGAAGAGAGUGAAAGUAUAUAUACAUAAAAUCAUCGACAGAGAGGCGAGAAAAUCCCGCGGGUACAAGUGUCUCCAUAUACCUAGACGGAAUCCCUAGCUUAUAGGAUUAUUUAUUUAUUGUUCCGGAGGAAAUCAGGCGAUCGUCUCGAGUCUGCGACCCUCUUCGACGCCGCGGUUCGAUUUCCUUCCCGAAAGCGCGAUCGGCGACAAGAGGCCAAGUUUGAGGUCAUCUUCUUGCGUCCCGCUUUCGAGGCGGACGCUUUGCGACGCCCUCGACGAAAGAUCCGUCGCAAAGCGUCCAUUAUCAGUCGGCGACCAAAGAUAGGAGCGCAAGCGUGUAAAUAAGAGUUAAACCUACGACGUUUUUAAUAUCUUACACCGAGAGUUAUCAUACGCCAUGUAGAUACGUGUAAAUUUAUCGAAGUCCCGCGUACAUGUAAACGUCUCUACGAAAUAUAUGAAAGAAAA